GACGAACGCUGGCGGCGUGCUUAACACAUGCAAGUCGAACGAUGAACCGGAGCUUGCUCUGGGGAUUAGUGGCGAACGGGUGAGUAACACGUGGGCAACCUGCCCCAGACACCGGGAUAACCAUUCGAAAGGAUGGCUAAUACCGGAUACGACCACUUCGGGCAUCCGAUGGUGGUGGAAAGGAUUCUGGUCUGGGAUGGGCCCGCGGCCUGUCAGCUUGUUGGUGGGGUAAUGGCCUACCAAGGCGACAACGGUUAGCCGGCCUGAGAGGGCGACCGGCCACACUGGGACUGAGACACGGCCCAGACGCCUACGGGAGGCAGCAGUGGGGAAUAUUGCGCAAUGGGCGAAAGCCUGACGCAGCGACGCCGCGUGAGGGACGAAGGUCUUCGGAUUGUAAACCUCUUUCAGCAGGGAUGAAGCGAAAGUGACAGUACCUGCAGAAGAAGCACCGGCUAACUACGUGCCAGCCGCCGCAGUAACAC
rnacentral:rRNA from 1 species